rnacentral:rRNA from 1 species
GACGAACGCUGGCGGCGUGCUUAACACAUGCAAGUCGAACGGAAAGGCCCUGCUUUUGUGGGGUGCUCGAGCGGCGAACGGGUGAGUAACACGUGAGUAACCUGCCCUUGACUUUGGGAUAACUUCAGGAAACUGGGGCUAAUACCGGAUAGGAGCUCCUGCUGCAUGGUGGGGGUUGGAAAGUUUCGGCGGUUGGGGAUGGACUCGCGGCUUAUCAGCUUGUUGGUGGGGUAGUGGCUUACCAAGGCUUUGACGGGUAGCCGGCCUGAGAGGGUGACCGGCCACAUUGGGACUGAGAUACGGCCCAGACUCCUACGGGAGGCAGCAGUGGGGAAUAUUGCACAAUGGGCGGAAGCCUGGUGCAGCAACGCCGCGUGCGGGAUGACGGCCUUCGGGUUGUAAACCGCUUUCGCCUGUGACGAAGCGUGAGUGACGGUAAUGGGUAAAGAAGCACCGGCUAACUACGUG